UUCAUACAGAGAAGAUUAGCAUGGCCCCUGCGCAAGGAUGUCACACAAAUUUGUGAAGCAUUCCACAUUUAA
rfam:Erinaceus europaeus unplaced genomic scaffold scaffold00895, whole genome shotgun sequence